rnacentral:rRNA from 1 species
ACGCGUUGGGAGCUCUCCCAUAUGGUCGACCUGCAGGCGGCCGCGAAUUCACUAGUGAUUGGAAACAGGUGCUAAUACCGGAUAAGAAAGCAGAUCGCAUGAUCAGCUUUUAAAAGGCGGCGUAAGCUGUCGCUAUGGGAUGGCCCCGCGGUGCAUUAGCUAGUUGGUAAGGUAAAGGCUUACCAAGGCGAUGAUGCAUAGCCGAGUUGAGAGACUGAUCGGCCACAUUGGGACUGAGACACGGCCCAAACUCCUACGGGAGGCCGCAGUAGGGAAUCUUCCACAAUGGACGCAAGUCUGAUGGAGCAACGCCGCGUGAGUGAAGAAGGUUUUCGGAUCGUAAAGCUCUGUUGUUGGUGAAGAAGGAUAGAGGUAGUAACUGGCCUUUAUUUGACGGUAAUCAACCAGAAAGUCACGGCUAACUACGUGCCAGCAGCCGCGGUAAUACGAUAAUCGAAUWCCCGC